rnacentral:rRNA from 1 species
UACCCGCAGCACAAGUGGUGGUCAUUAUUAUUGGGCCUAAAGCGUCCGUAGCUGGCCUGUUAGAUGCCUGGGUAAAUCGAUGCGCUCAACGUAUCGAACUCCGGGUAGACCGGCAGGCUUGGGACCGGGAGAGGCGUGAGCUACUCGGGGGGUAGGGGUAAAAUCCUGUAAUCCUCCGGGGAGGACCAGUGGCGAAGGCGUCACGCUAGAACGGCUCCGACAGUGAGGGACGAAGCCCUGGGGCGCAAACAGG